rnacentral:tRNA from 1 species
GGACGGAUGGCAGAGCGGUUGAAUGCGACGGUCUUGAAAACCGUUAGGCGGGUAACCCCCGUCUCGGGGGUUCGAAUCCCCCUCCGUCCU